GGCUCCUUAGCUCAGUGGUCAGAGCAGGCGACUCAUAAUCGCUUGGUCGCUGGUUCAAUCCCAGCAGGGGCCAUAA
rnacentral:tRNA from 1 species